rnacentral:misc_RNA from 1 species
UUUUUUUUUUUUUUUUUUAUAAUGGAGGGUUGGGUUGUUGGGGGUUGCAACUUGCAAGAAUCCCACAAAAUUCAGGAAUAAGAAAUAUAAAGAACAAAGUUACAUGAUAAUUCAUCAAUGAAGUAACUAUGAAAACAUUUAUAGGCCUCAUAAAUACAAAUCUUGGUGGCAAGGAAAAAUCCAAGCAAGUACUAGCAAUGCAAUAUGAAGGUAAUAAAUAGCAUUUAACGUAAAUAAAUGGCAGACACAUUUCAGUGAAUUCCUGGAUAUAAUUUGCAGCAGAGAAGCAAAAGGUUGAAAAUAGAGCUCGUGAACCCUUGUUUGUCAGCAACUGCUGAAGGACUGAAUGCUAAAAAAAAGAAGGAAAGAGAAAAAAUAAACAUCAGAAUCCCUUUUUCUUUCAGUUUCUGUUUCAGGUUCCAACAAUAAGAAGAAAAGGGCUAGAAAGUUUCACACCAUCUAUGUACAAAGAUGAGGCAAAAUCUGGGAGCACUAAAUAAAAAUUAAUUAAAUUAAUGUUAUGCAAACCUGGGAAGUUUAAAUAUUACAAAAC